rnacentral:lncRNA from 10 species
GAACAUCAGACUCCAAGUUCUUCUGUUUUGGGACUCGGACUGGCUUUCCUUGCUCCUCAGCUUGCAGACAGACUAUUGUGGAACCUUGUGAUGGUGUAAGUUAAUACUUAAUAUUAACUCCCCUUUACACAUAUAUAUAGCCUAUUAGUUCUGUCCCUCUAACAGAAUCCUGACUAAUACAAACAGGGACUAGACCUUGUUUCAUUACCCCUCUUAUAAAACCUUGCAUGGAUUUUGGCUGGCUACCUUUUUGAAUGUGACUCUCUAAAAGAUUGGGUUUGUAUCUCCCUUCUCUCAGAGAUGAAGUAAGGGCAUCAUUUUUGCCUCCAUAUUGCACUAUAGCAGCUGGAUAUCAUGGAAGGCAUUAGAGGAUCUUGGGUACAAGGGGUGGACUGUAACAGCCAUCUCUUACACACCACUUCACAUCCCCUGUGCUUCAUCUCUCUCUUAUUCCAGUAAGCACAGUUCUAUGUACUCUCAGACUGACUUAUUGCUGAUCCAAUCCAACACAGCCUCACCUCAGACCUGCACCAUGUGCCUCUCCUUCCCUGGAGCCUCUCGCUUAAUUCUGAGGCAUGGAAAGUGCUGGGACUGCACUCAGUGCCCACGCAUGCAAACCCAGAAGUUAGGCAAAGUGAACACUUCAUGGGAUGAAACUUUGACAAAUGGUAGAUGCAAGAAAAUGGAGAAAUUCGUCUCCUUUGCUCUCCUAAUCACAGGUAAUCCAGGGAUGUAUUACAUUUGCUUCUCAGUCAGUCCUGUGGGAAUAAGACAAGCGGUCACCUCUAGCUGUGACCCCCUCAGCGACAUGUCUUUUGAUUGUCUUUCUCUGCGUUGCCCCCCAGUGUGCAAAAGCUAUUAAAUGGGAUUGUAGUCCCUACUCAAUUACUGGUAUAUAAACCACUACCUCAAUGUCUGAAUUCUGAGGAAACCAGGCUAAUCAAAGGGGUGACAAAAUUACUGUUAUUUUGAGAUGAUGAGUGUCUAUCUGGAAAACCAAAUAGUCACAGCAGCAACAACAGGAACGACAACAAUGAUGAAGACAACAACAACAAAGAUCCAAUAAGAAGACUCAGUACAUUGGCUUAUGAUAAAAAUUACUACAUACAAAUGAAUAGCUGUUCUACAUUCCAGUAAUAAUUUACUUUAAAAAUUAAUAGGAAAUGUACUAAACCUAAGGAUGACAGAAUGACUAUACUCUGGGCCAUAAAAUAGAUGAAUUACUGGGAGGAAAUACCAUGUUCCAAGAUGGAAAGACUUAGUAUUGUAGGUAUGUGAAUUCUCCACACAUUAAUCUGUAAAUUUAAUGAAAUCCCAAUUAAAAUUCUAAUUCUUUAACCCAACAACUUAAUUCCAAAAGAUAUCUGAGAGAAUAAACUCAUGAAAAUAGCCAGGGACAUUCUGAAAAAGUGUAAUAAGAGAUGACUAACUCUAAUAGAUAGGCAACUUUGCUAUACAGCUAUAAUUUUAAAAUUGUGCUUUGCAGAUAUAGACAGUCAAGGAAACUGAGCUGAGUAGAGACAGAUGUGAUAUAUGCUAGAAGUGGCAUAACAGAUCAGUGGGGAAUUGAUGGAGAGUUUUUUAUAAUAAUAGCACAACUGGCAAGUCACUUGGGGAAAAAAUAUAUUCCCCCUCAUACUUCACAAAAUAAUAAGUUCCAGGUGGAAUAACAGCAUCUUAGUUUGGUGUGUGUUCUUCCAUAACUGUAUUUUGGCACUUACUUUUUUUUUUUUACAUUAUAGAUUUCUUGCAUACAAUGUAUUCUUCAACUUACUUUCUUCACUUACUGUUAGUUACCUCUUGGAUGUGGGGAACAGACUGAAUUUGAGAGUGAUAAGAAAAGGGGAGAUCAUCAUAAAUUAAUUAGUUAAUUCAAUUAAACAAUGAUUGAGUGCCUACAAAGUGCCAGGCCAUAUUCUUGUUGCUGGGGAUACAGCAGUGAAUAACAACAAGAAUUCUGCCCUCAUGGAUCAUACAUUCUCGUGGGGAGGACAUAAACCAUCAAUAAAAUAUUUAAGUAAAAUGUACCCUAUAUUAAAUGGUGACAAACGCUUCAGAGGAAAAUAAAGCGCAUGCAUGCGUGCACACACACGUACAAGACAAGGAGAGCAGGCCUCACUAAGAUGACAUUUGUGUGAAGAUGUAGAAGAGGUGAGGGAGAGCCAUCCCAUCUGGUUAUGGGAGCAUUUUCUCUGACAGAAGAAACAGUGAGUGCAAGAGAGAGUGAGCCUGGCAUAAAAGAUAAGACAUAGUUCGCAGAGCCUUAUAGGCCACUUGAGAACUUCAGUGAUUCCACCGAGUGAGCGAGUAAGCUGGUGGAAUAUUCAAGCCACAGAGAGGCAUGAUCCGACUUAGUUAUUUUUGUUUUAAACAGGAUCGCUGUGGUUACUAUGUAGAGAAUCACACAAAGAUGAGUCAGAUAAGAGUGUGCCAUAAUACUGGAGAGAGAGACGGCAGUGGGUGAAGGAAAAAAUAGUGCCAAUGUUCAGACAUACAAAUUACUGAACUUAAUAUGUAAAGAUUUCUUGCAAAUCAGUAAGAAUAAGAUCAGUACCCAAAAGGAAAAAAAAAAGUACCUUGCUCAUCUCUGAGACAGAAAGGGAAUUAGUCAGACCGUCCUUAGAAUCAUUGCCUUGCACAUUAAACCCUUGAGGACAGUGUAAUGCGAUCCCUAUUUUCCUUACCUUUCAGAUCUCUAGCUCCAGAGAAACCACAGCUCUGCUGGUUUUUGUGGUACAAACCACAAAGAUGUUUUUUAACUUUGCUUAACUUUCCUUCCAUCUGUUCUU